CGACUCCGGGAUACUGGCCUUCUAGGCAGGGUUGCAAAGAAAAAGACAUAUCUCAGACUGGCCAAUAAAAAGAAAAGAUUAAGAUGCGCAAAAGAACACAGACACUGGACAGAGGAACUCUGCCUAGAAGGCCAGCAUCCCGGAGUCGCCUCUUCACUGUUGAAAUUGAGACUGGUGUUUUGCAGAUCUGCCAAUCUGCUCGGUGGAGUGUUCCAGGCCUGGAGUGGCAUGCUGGAACUUCCAGAGUCUUGUAGAGCUGAAGCAGUGUGAUGUGGUCCAGAUAAGAUCUAAACCAGGCCAGAACUUGUCCAUGUAGACCCAUUUGGGUUUCCAAUCUCUCCAAAAGAAUGUGGUGAUCGAUGGUAUCAAAAGCGGCACUAAGAUCUAGGAGCACGAGGACAGAUGCAGAGCCUCGGUCUGACGUCAUUAAAAGAGGGAUGAGGACUGAGGAGCCCUGUGAGCAGCCAGUCAAGCCCCCAGGUCUUGCCCCAGCCCAAGACCAGCGCCGGGCCCAGCCCCGGUCCACUCAGCUUUACCUUGCUCUGCGGAGGGGGAACAGCCAGAGAGAGAGAGAGAGAGAGAGAGAGAAAGAAAAAGAAAAUGUAUGUUGCAGCCUUGGAUGGUUUCCAAGUUACAUUAAAUUCUCACUGGGUGAAAAUGUGUUGAAAUUACACAAUUCUAUGCUCUUGUGAUUUGCCUAUCAGGAACCAGGUUUUGAGUUCUUUAUUGUUUCUCUGAUUAAUUAAUCUCCUGUUAAUUAUCAGAUAAUAGGAGAGCGUAACCCCCAU
rnacentral:lncRNA from 1 species